CAACAGUAGGGCUUAUUGAGAGCUCCAUUUCUGGAAAGCGUUGCAAGACUGAGGAAAAUCAGACUGCGAAUCACCGGGAACAGUUCCCUUGCAGCACAGAAGCAAUCUCUCUCCCCAUCUUCGCAUAUUCUGAUGGCAAAUCAAAUGGAAGAAAAGAGGAAGCAUGACUGCAGAUCGCAUCAGUUCUCUUUGUGGAUUACAUUUUCAGUAAAAUGUAUGGAUCUAUCUUUUCCUUGUUCUUAUAUCUAGAUCAUGACACUUGACUGAGGCUGUA
rnacentral:lncRNA from 1 species